GUGUCAGCCGCCGCGGUAAGACAGAGGGUGCAAACGUUGUUCGGAAUUACUGGGCGUAAAGCGUGUGUAGGCGGUUUCGUAAGUCGGAUGUGAAAGCCCUGGGCUCAACCCAGGAAGUGCACUCGAUACUGCGAAGCUAGAGUAUCGGAGAGGUUGGUGGAAUUCUCGGUGUAGAGGUGAAAUUCGUAGAUAUCGAGAGGAACACCGGCGGCGAAGGCGGCCAACUGGACGAAUACUGACGCUGAGACACGAAAGCGUGGGGAGCAAACAGGAUUAGAUACCCUGGUAGUCCACGCCGUAAACGAUGGGUGCUAGGUGUCGCGGGCUUUGACUCCUGCGGUGCCGUAGCUAACGCAUUAAGCACCCCGCCUGGGAAGUACGGCCGCAAGGCUAAA
rnacentral:rRNA from 1 species